rnacentral:rRNA from 1 species
CCUACGGGGAGCAGCAGUGGGGAAUAUUGGACAAUGGGCGAAAGCCUGAUCCAGCCAUGCCGCGUGUGUGAAGAAGGCCUUCGGGUUGUAAAGCACUUUCAGUGGGGAAGAAAGCCUUGGGGCUAAUACCCUCGAGGAAGGACAUCACCCACAGAAGAAGCACCGGCUAACUCCGUGCCAGCAGCCGCGGUAAUACGGAGGGUGCGGGCGUUAAUCGGAAUUACUGGGCGUAAAGCGCGCGUAGGCGGUCUGAUAAGCCGGUUGUGAAAGCCCCGGGCUCAACCUGGGAACGGCAUCCGGAACUGUCAGGCUAGAGUGCAGGAGAGGAAGGUAGAAUUCCCGGUGUAGCGGUGAAAUGCGUAGAGAUCGGGAGGAAUACCAGUGGCGAAGGCGGCCUUCUGGACUGACACUGACGCUGAGGUGCGAAAGCGUGGGUAGCAAACAGGAUUAGAUACCCUAGUAGUC